rnacentral:rRNA from 1 species
GUUUAAUUCGAUGCAACGCGAAGAACCUUACCUACUCUUGACAUCCACAGAAUUCGGCAGAGAUGCCUUAGUGCCUUCGGGAACUGUGAGACAGGUGCUGCAUGGCUGUCGUCAGCUCGUGUUGUGAAAUGUUGGGUUAAGUCCCGCAACGAGCGCAACCCUUAUCCUUUGUUGCCAGCGGUUCGGCCGGGAACUCAAAGGAGACUGCCAGUGAUAAACUGGAGGAAGGUGGGGAUGACGUCAAGUCAUCAUGGCCCUUACGAGUAGGGCUACACACGUGCUACAAUGGCGCAUACAAAGAGAAGCGACCUCGCGAGAGCAAGCGGACCUCAUAAAGUGCGUCGUAGUCCGGAUCGGAGUCUGCAACUCGACUCCGUGAAGUCGGAAUCGCUAGUAAUCGUAGAUCAGAAUGCUACGGUGAAUACGUUCCCGGGCCUUGUACACUCCGCC